CUUCGAGUCGUUGAUUUCACACUGCCGAGAAAAGCCUCUAGAUAGAAAAUAGGUGCCCGUACCGCAAACCGACACAGGUAGUCAAGAUGAGAAUUCUAAGGUGAGCGAGCGAACUCUCGUUAAGGAACUCGGCAAAAUGACCCCGUAACUUCGGGAGAAGGGGUGCUCUUUAGGGUUAACGCCCAGAAGAGCCGCAGUGAAUAGGCCCAAGCGACUGUUUAUCAAAAACACAGGUCUCUGCUAAACCGUAAGGUGAUGUAUAGGGGCUGACGCCUGCCCGGUGCUGGAAGGUUAAGAGGAGUGGUUAGCUUCUGCGAAGCUACGAAUCGAAGCCCCAGUAAACGGCGGCCGUAACUAUAACGGUCCUAAGGUAGCGAAAUUCCUUGUCGGGUAAGUUCCGACCCGCACGAAAGGCGUAACGAUUUGGGCACUGUCUCAACGAGAGACUCGGUGAAAUCAUAGUACCUGUGAAGAUGCAGGUUACCCGCGACAGGACGGAAAGACCCCGUGGAGCUUUACUGUAGCCUGAUAUUGAAAUUCGGCACAGCUUGUACAGGAUAGGUAGGAGCCUUUGAAACGUGAGCGCUAGCUUACGUGGAGGCGCUGGUGGGAUACUACCCUAGCUGUGUUGGCUUUCUAACCCGCACCACUUAUCGUGGUGGGAGACAGUGUCAGGCGGGCAGUUUGACUGGGGCGGUCGCCUCCUAAAAGGUAACGGAGGCGCUCAAAGGUUCCCUCAGAAUGGUUGGAAAUCAUUCAUAGAGUGUAAAGGCAUAAGGGAGCUUGACUGCGAGACCUACAAGUCGAGCAGGGUCGAAAGACGGACUUAGUGAUCCGGUGGUUCCGCAUGGAAGGGCCAUCGCUCAACGGAUAAAAGCUACCCCGGGGAUAACAGGCUUAUCUCCCCCAAGAGUUCACAUCGACGGGGAGGUUUGGCACCUCGAUGUCGGCUCAUCGCAUCCUGGGGCUGUAGUCGGUCCCAAGGGUUGGGCUGUUCGCCCAUUAAAGCGGUACGCGAGCUGGGUUCAGAACGUCGUGAGACAGUUCGGUCCCUAUCCGUCGUGGGCGUAGGAAAUUUGAGAGGAGCUGUCCUUAGUACGAGAGGACCGGGAUGGACAUACCUCUGGUGUACCAGUUGUCGUGCCAACGGCAUAGCUGGGUAGCUAUGUGUGGACGGGAUAAGUGCUGAAAGCAUCUAAGCAUGAAGCCCCCCUCAAGAUGAGAUUUCCCAACUUCGGUUAUAAGAUCCCUCAAAGAUGAUGAGGUUAAUAGGUUCGAGGUGGAAGCAUGGUGACAUGUGGAGCUGACGAAUACUAAUCGAUCGAAGACUUAAUCAA
rnacentral:rRNA from 1 species